AGUGUGUGUAAGGGAAGACAAUUCUGUGGGUUUUAUACUCUUUAGUUGGAGUAUAAAACCCACAGAAUUGUCUUCCCUUACAUACACUUC
rnacentral:pre_miRNA from 1 species